UGCGUAGGUGGCGCUGUAAGUCAGGUGUGAAAUUUCGAAGCUUAACUCCGAAACUGCAUUUGAUACUGCGGUGCUUGAGGACUGGAGAGGAGACUGGAAUUCACGGUGUAGCAGUGAAAUGCGUAGAGAUCGUGAGGAAGACCAGUGGCGAAGGCGGGUCUCUGGACAGUUCCUGACACUGAGGCACGAAGGCCAGGGGAGCAAACG
rnacentral:rRNA from 1 species